rnacentral:rRNA from 1 species
AUUCCAGCUCCAAUAGCGUAUAUUUAAGUUGUUGCGGUUAAAAAGCUCGUAGUUGGAUUUCGGGCGUGGAGGUUCGGUCCGCCGUUUCGGUGUGCACUGUCUUUCUGCGUCUUUCUGUCGGGGACGCGCUUCUGGCCUUAAUUGGCUGGGACGUGGAUCCGACGAGGUUACUUUGAAAAAAUUAGAGUGUUCAAAGCAAGCUAAAGCUCUGAAUACAUUAGCAUGGAAUAACGCGAGAGGACUCGGUCCUUAUUUUGUUGGUCUUCAAGGGUGGAGUAAUGAUUAAGAGGGACAGUUGGGGGCAUUCGUAUUUCAUUGCUAGAGGUGAAAUUCUUGGAUUUAUGAAAGACGAACUUCUGCGAAAGCAUUUGCCAAGGAUGUUUUCAUCA